rnacentral:rRNA from 1 species
GUGGGGAAUAUUGCACAAUGGGGGAAACCCUGAUGCAGCAACGCCGCGUGAAGGAUGAAGGUUUUCGGAUCGUAAACUUCUAUCAACAGGGACGAAACAAAUGACGGUACCUGAAUAAGAAGCCCCGGCUAACUACGUGCCAGCAGCCGCGGUAAUACGUAGGGGGCAAGCGUUAUCCGGAAUUACUGGGUGUAAAGGGAGCGUAGGCGGCACGUCAAGCCAGAUGUGAAAGCCCGGGGCUUAACCCCGUGGAUUGCAUUUGGAACUGGCGAGCUAGAGUACAGGAGAGGAAAGCGGAAUUCCUAGUGUAGCGGUGAAAUGCGUAGAUAUUAGGAAGAACACCAGUGGCGAAGGCGGCUUUCUGGACUGAAACUGACGCUGAGGCUCGAAAGCGUGGGGAGCAAACAGG